CUAUCUGCCGUGGGCGCUGGAGAAUUGAGGGGGGCUGCUCCUAGUACGAGAGGACCGGAGUGGACGCAUCACUGGUGUUCGGGUUGUCAUGCCAAUGGCACUGCCCGGUAGCUAAAUGCGGAAGAGAUAAGUGCUGAAAGCAUCUAAGCACGAAACUUGCCCCGAGAUGAGUUCUCCCUGAGACUUUAAGUCUCCUGAAGGAACGUUGAAGACGACGACGUUGAUAGGUCGGGUGUGUAAGCGCAGCGAUGCGUUGAGCUAACCGAUACUAAUGAACCGUGAGGCUUAAUCUUACAACGCCGAAG
rnacentral:rRNA from 1 species